UACAAUUGGCAGAAAUGAAGAGAUUAGGGGUGGGGAAUUCGAGCUCCGCUGUUCGUCGCUGGGCCCCUAAAUUGCCAGGGCCCUAUGCACUCUGUCCCCCUUUUCUCACCAAUAGUGACAAGUAUCGCUGUAGCCAGGAGACCUCCAAGUGGGAAGGGAUUACAUAGCAAGUAGGUUGGGUGACCUCCAAGUGGGAGAGACUUAAACCACAAGUAGGUUGGGUUUAAGUGGUGUAGGUGGAGUAGACAGUAAUAAAACACAACAUGUUACUAUGAAAUUGGGUUUAGAGUAGGUGUAGAUGGUAAUAAAACACAUCAGGUUACUGUGAGGUUAGGUUUAGAGUAGACGUAGAUGGUAAUAAAACACAACAGGUUACUGUGAGAUUGGGUUUAGUGUAGGUUUAAACGGUAAUAAAACACAACAGGUUACUGUGAGGUUAUGUUUAGAGUAGGUUCAGACCGUAAUAAAACACAACAGGUUACUGUGAGAUUGGGUUUAGAGUAGGUUUAGAUGGUAAUAAAACACAACAGGUUACUGUGAGGUUAGGUUUACAGUAGAUGUAAAUGGUAAUAAAACACAACAGGUUACUGUGAGAUUGGGUUUAGAGUAGGUUUAGAUGGUAAUAAAACACAACAGGUUACUGUGAGAUUGGGUUUAGAGUAGGUUUAGACGGUAAUAAAACACAACAGGUUACUGUGAGGUUGGGUUUAGAGUAGGUUCAGACGGUAAUAAAACACAACAGGUUACUGUGAGGUUAGGUUUAGAGUAGGUUCAGACGGUAAUAAAACACAACAGGUUACUGUGAGGUUAGGUUUAGAGUAGAUGUAAAUGGUAAUAAAACACAACAGGUUACUGUGAGGUUAGGUUUAGAGUAGAUGUAAAUGGUAAUAAAACACAACAGGUUACUGUGAGAUUGGGUUUAGAGUAGGUUUAGACUGUAAUAAAACACAACAGGUUACUGUGAGGUUGGGUUUAGAGUAGGUUUAGAUGUUAAUAAAACACAACAGGUUACUGUGAGAUUGGGUUUAGAGUAGGUUCAGACGGUAAUAAAACACAUCAGGUUACUGUGAGGUUAGGUUUAGAGUAGAUGUAAAUGGUAAUAAAACACAACAGGUUACUGUGAGAUUGGGUUUAGAGUAGGUUUAGAUGGUAAUAAAACACAACAGGUUACUGUGAGAUUGGGUUUAGAGUAGGUUUAGAUGGUAAUAAAACACAACAGGUUACUGUGAGGUUAGGUUUACAGUAGAUGUAAAUGGUAAUAAAACACAACAGGUUACUGUGAGAUUGGGUUUAGAGUAGGUUUAGAUGGUAAUAAAACACAACAGGUUACUGUGAGAUUGGGUUUAGAGUAGGUUUAGACGGUAAUAAAACACAACAGGUUACUGUGAGGUUGGGUUUAGAGUAGGUUCAGACGGUAAUAAAACACAACAGGUUACUGUGAGGUUAGGUUUAGAGUAGAUGUAAAUGGUAAUAAAACACAACAGGUUACUGUGAGAUUGGGUUUAGAGUAGGUUCAGACGGUAAUAAAACACAACAGGUUACUGUGAGGUUGGGUUUAGAGUAGGUUCAGACGGUAAUAAAACACAACAGGUUACUGUGAGGUUGGGUUUAGAGUAGGUUCAGACGGUAAUAAAACACAACAGGUUACUGUGAGGUUAGGUUUAGAGUAGAUGUAAAUGGUAAUAAAACACAACAGGUUACUGUGAGAUUGGGUUUAGAGUAGGUUUAGACUGUAAUAAAACACAACAGGUUACUGUGAGGUUGGGUUUAGAGUAGGUUUAGAUGUUAAUAAAACACAACAGGUUACUGUGAGGUUGGGUUUAGAGUAGGUUUAGAUGUUAAUAAAACACAACAGGUUACUGUGAGGUUGGGUUUAGAGUAGGUUCAGACGGUAAUAAAACACAACAGGUUACUGUGAGGUUAGGUUUAGAGUAGAUGUAAAUGGUAAUAAAACACAACAGGUUACUGUGAGAUUGGGUUUAGAGUAGGUUUAGACUGUAAUAAAACACAACAGGUUACUGUGAGGUUGGGUUUAGAGUAGGUUUAGAUGGUAAUACAACACAACAGGUUACUGUGAGGUUAGGUUUACAGUAGAUGUAAAUGGUAAUAAAACACAACAGGUUACUGUGAGAUUGGGUUUAGAGUAGGUUUAGAUGGUAAUAAAACACAACAGGUUACUGUGAGAUUGGGUUUAGAGUAGGUUUAGACGGUAAUAAAACACAACAGGUUACUGUGAGGUUGGGUUUAGAGUAGGUUCAGACGGUAAUAAAACACAACAGGUUACUGUGAGGUUAGGUUUAGAGUAGAUGUAAAUGGUAAUAAAACACAACAGGUUACUGUGAGAUUGGGUUUAGAGUAGGUUCAGACAGUAAUAAAACACAACAGGUUACUGUGAGGUUGGGUUUAGAGUAGGUUCAGACAGUAAUAAAACACAACAGGUUACUGUGAGGUUGGGUUUAGAGUAGGUUCAGACGGUAAUAAAACACAACAGGUUACUGUGAGGUUGGGUUUAGAGUAGGUUUAGAUGUUAAUAAAACACAACAGGUUACUGUGAGGUUGGGUUUAGAGUAGGUUCAGACGGUAAUAAAACACAUCAGGUUACUGUGAGGUUAGGUUUAGAGUAGGUUCAGACGGUAAUAAAACACAACAGGUUACUGUGAGGUUAGGUUUAGAGUAGGUUCAGACGGUAAUAAAACACAUCAGGUUACUGUGAGGUUGGGUUUAGAGUAGGUUCAGACAGUAAUAAAACACAACAGGUUACUGUGAGGUUGGGUUUAGAGUAGGUUCAGACGGUAAUAAAACACAACAGGUUACUGUGAGGUUGGGUUUAGAGUAGGUUCAGACGGUAAUAAAACACAACAGGUUACUGUGAGGUUGGGUUUAGAGUAGGUUUAGAUGUUAAUAAAACACAACAGGUUACUGUGAGGUUGGGUUUAGAGUAGGUUCAGACGGUAAUAAAACACAACAGGUUACUGUGAGGUUAGGUUUAGAGUAGAUGUAAAUGGUAAUAAAACACAACAGGUUACUGUGAGAUUGGGUUUAGAGUAGGUUUAGACUGUAAUAAAACACAACAGGUUACUGUGAGGUUGGGUUUAGAGUAGGUUUAGAUGUUAAUAAAACACAACAGGUUACUGUGAGGUUGGGUUUAGAGUAGGUUCAGACGGUAAUAAAACACAUCAGGUUACUGUGAGGUUAGGUUUAGAGUAGGUUCAGACGGUAAUAAAACACAUCAGGUUACUGUGAGGUUAGGUUUAGAGUAGGUUCAGACGGUAAUAAAACACAACAGGUUACUGUGAGGUUAGGUUUAGAGUAGAUGUAAAUGGUAAUAAAACACAACAGGUUACUGUGAGAUUGGGUUUAGUGUAGGUUCAGACGGUAAUAAAACACAACAGAUUACUGUGAGGUUGGGUUUAGAGUAGGUUCAGACGAUAAUAAAACACAACAGGUUACUGUGAGGUUGGGUUUAGAGUAGGUUCAGACGGUAAUAAAACACAACAGGUUACUGUGAGGUUAGGUUUAGAGUAGGUUUAGAAGGUAAUAAAACACAACAGGUUACUGUGAGGUUAGGUUUAGUGUAGGUGUAGACAUUCAUAAAGCACAAUAUUGGACAGAUUAGUACAGCCCACUUGGAGCUGACUCCAACUUCCAUUAAUACACUUCUCGAAAUGUCAGGCUCUGCCGUUUUAAUUUCUGUCUGUUUCUGCAUUCUCUUAUUGUGUGCAGGAUUCAACGUGACUACGAUCAUUUUAAUUCAGCAAUUUAUUUUAUAAAAGCCAAUUAACUAAACUAAAAAGUAUCUCAAAUAUUAUUACUUAAUUUAAUGAAGUAAUGCGUUACUUUACUCGUUACUUAGAACUAGUAAGUACUAUUAUUACGUAACUCACGUUACUUGUAAUGCGUUACCCCCAACACUGGUUUUACUGUAUAUUUGAUUAAAUAAAUGCAGCCUUAGCCUUAAUUUAAAAAAAAAUCUUCCAAACUUUAAAUAUAUAUAGUCUAUAUAAAUAUAUUCAUAAAUAUAUAUACACAGACUCAUGUUUGUGUAAGUCUAAAUAUAGCCAUUUUGACUAGCUGAAAAUUGAACCCAGCCUCUCUGCUUCAUAAAUGUUUCUUUUCUAUGGGCAGUUGUGUGGUUUUGCACUAUAUGUUUUCUAUUAUAAUGGCAUCGACGUCAUUUUCUGAUUCACAUUUUUGUAGUCGCUCUUUACUUUGGACAUUACAUUUCUUUUAUGAAGGACCAAAACAAGACCGAUGUGACGUGUAAAUGUGGUGGCUCACACUCUCAGAUUUGUCCUCAUCGCCAGUUCAGUGAUAUACAAAUAUAUUUAUACAUCGGAAAUAUAUAUAAAUACAUAGAAAUAUAUAUAUAUAUCAUUUGGGUUUGAUUUGAGAUAUUUGCGAAUGAGCGUUUUUAUUGUGUUAUUUGAAUUGAAAGGGGUGUGGUUAUGUGUAUAUUCUCACUGAAAUAUUCAUGAACCAAUUGUGACGAGCGAUCUGAUUGGUCGAGAGAAAGACGACCCCGUAAUGAUUGGUCGUCUCUGUGUACUGUUGAUUUCUCUUGCACAAAGAGCAGCAUGAUAUCGUGUUUACAUCCAUCUGCGUUAUUUUAUUUGGUCUUUUUAUUUAAUUAUCUUUUGUAGUCCUGCUGGUGAGAUGUUUGCUAAUGGAACAAAUCGCAAGUAUUUACUCUAUCGGAUUAUGAACAUGAUUUAUUUUUUGUUCAAUAGCAUUGUUAUUUUCGUUCGGAUUUAACAUCACUGUAAGAAAACAUGCAGUCCUGAAAAUGGUCAGUUUUUGGGGGGGAUGAUUGUCUGUGCUGUUUUUUCUCAACAUAGCUGACUUAUUGUACAGUUUUAUUAAUCAAACUUUCACAUGAAUGUUUGUCUUAAUCUGCUGCCACCCGACAGUUUAGGAAACAUGUUUAUAGACAUAACUGUGCAAUGGAGAAAACAAUAAAUGUAACAGAACGA